rnacentral:tRNA from 1 species
AAAAACUUAGUUAAAAAUAUAACAUUAACUUGUCAAGUUAAAAUUAUUAAACUAUAAUAGUUUUUA